rnacentral:rRNA from 1 species
AUUGAACGCUGGCGGAAUGCUUUACACAUGCAAGUCGAACGGCAGCACGGACUUCGGUCUGGUGGCGAGUGGCGAACGGGUGAGUAAUACAUCGGAACGUGCCCAAUCGUGGGGGAUAACGUAGCGAAAGCUACGCUAAUACCGCAUACGAUCUAAGGAUGAAAGCGGGGGAUCGCAAGACCUCGCGCGAUUGGAGCGGCCGAUGGCAGAUUAGGUAGUUGGUAGGGUAAAGGCCUACCAAGCCGACGAUCUGUAGCUGGUCUUAGGGGAUGAUCAGCCACACUGGGACUGAGACACGGCCCAGACUCCUACGGGAGGCAGCAGUGGGGAAUUUUGGACAAUGGACGCAAGUCUGAUCCAGCCAUUCCGCGUGCAGGAUGAAGGCCCUCGGGUUGUAAACUGCUUUUGUACAGAACGAAAAGGCUCUGGUUAAUACCUAGGGCUCAUGACGGUACUGUAAGAAUAAGCACCGGCUAACUACGUGCCAGCAGCCGCAGUAA